UACGUAGGGUGCAAGCGUUAUCCGGAAUUAUUGGGCGUAAAGAGCUCGUAGGCGGUUUGUCGCGUCUGCUGUGAAAACCCGAGGCUCAACCUCGGGCCUGCAGUGGGUACGGGCAAACUAGAGUGCGGUAGGGGAGAUUGGAAUUCCUGGUGUAGCGGUGGAAUGCGCAGAUAUCAGGAGGAACACCGAUGGCGAAGGCAGAUCUCUGGGCCGUAACUGACGCUGAGAAGCGAAAGCAUGGGGAGCGAACAGG
rnacentral:rRNA from 1 species